AGGACGAACGCUGGCGGCGUGCUUAACACAUGCAAGUCGAACGAGGUCCAACCUGUCGCAAGACAGGGGAAGACCGAGUGGCGAACGGGUGAGUAACACGUGAGGAACGUGCCCCGGAGACCGGGAUAACAGCGGGAAACCGCUGCUAAUACCGGAUACCUUCUUUUGAUCGCAUGGUCAGCUGAAGAAAUGGAUUCCGCUCCGGGAGCGCCUCGCGGUCUAUCAGCUUGUUGGUGGGUAACGGCCCACCAAGGCUUCGACGGAUAGCUGGUCUGAGAGGACGAUCAGCCACACUGGGACUGAGACACGGCCCAGACUCCUACGGGAGGCAGCAGUGGGGAAUCUUGCCCAAUGGGCGAAAGCCUGAGGCAGCAACGCCGCGUGUGGGAUGAAGGCCCUUGGGUAGUAAACCACUUUCAGCAGGGACAAAAUGACGUACCUGACAGAAGAAGCCCCGGACAACUACGUGCCAGCAGCCGAC
rnacentral:rRNA from 1 species